rnacentral:rRNA from 1 species
GACGAACGCUGGCGGCGUGCUUAACACAUGCAAGUCGAACGGAAAGGCCCUGCUUUUGUGGGGUGCUCGAGUGGCGAACGGGUGAGUAACACGAGAGUAACCUGCCCUUGACUUUGGCAUAACUUCAGGAAACUGGGGAUAAUACCGGAUAGGAGCUCCUGCUGCAUGGUGGGGGUUGGAAAGUUUCGGCGGUUUGGGAUGGACUCGCGGCUGAUCAGCUUGUUGGUGGGGUAGUGGCUGACCAAGGCUUUGACGGGUAGCCGGCCUGAGAGGGUGACCGGCCACAUUGGUACUGAGAUACGGCCCAGACUCCUACGGGAGGCAGCAGUGGGGAAUAUUGCACAAUGGGCGGAAGCGUGAUGCAGCAACGCCGCGUGCGGGAUGAGGGCCUUCGGGUUGUAAACCGCUUUCGCCUGUGACGAAGCGUGAGUGACGGUAAUGGGUAAAGAAGCACCGGCUAACUACGUG